GACGAACGCUGGCGGCUUUCUUAACACAUGCAAGUCGAACGGAAAGGCCCUGCUUUUGUGGGGUGCUCGAGUGGCGAACGGGUGAGUAACACGUGAGUAACCUGCCCUUGACUUUGGGAUAACUUCAGGAAACUGGGGCUAAUACCGGAUAGGAGCUCCUGCUGCAUGGUGGGGGUUGGAAAGUUUCGGCGGUUGGGGAUGGACUCGCGGCUUAUCAGCUUGUUGGUGGGGUAGUGGCUUACCAAGGCUUUGAGGGGUAGCCGGCCUGAGAGGGUGACCGGCCACAUUGGGACUGAGAUACGGCCCAGACUCCUACGGGAGGCAGCAGUGGGGAAUAUUGCACAAUGGGCGGAAGCCUGAUGCAGCAACGCCGCGUGCGGGAUGACGGCCUUCGGGUUGUAAACCGCUUUCGCCUGUGACGAAGCGUGAGUGACGGUAAUGGGUAAAGAAGCACCGGCUAACUACGUG
rnacentral:rRNA from 1 species